rnacentral:antisense_RNA from 1 species
UUGUUUUCUAAUUUAGAGACUUGCAUCUUUUCGACACUCAACAGUAUCAAGACACUCUGCUACUACAGAUUGAUUUCCACCAUCAACACCUUUACCUCUUCCCGCCUGAAAAUAAAAUAUGAAAUAUAACAAGUAAAUCGCAAUCUACCUUGCACAGAAUCUUCUGGAGAGGGAAAGAAGAAACCAUGUCUAGACAAGGUGCUGGAAAGACCCAGGGAAGACACAGGGAAAUCAUCUUUUGGGAAUUUAUCUAAGAAGAACUUCUUAUGAUAUAUGAAGUCUGGGGGUAAGACCUGCAGUAAUUUCCCUUAAGAUACUACAGAAUUUCCAAGGACUUGAGGAAUAAUUGCACUCUUGAAACAGCCUAUGAAAAAAGAAGAGACUUGGGAAAUUUAACAGAAGUUCACUUUCCACCACUGUGCAAACUAAGGAAAAACUUACAGCAGUAAAUAGCUGUGGUUGGCAAAGCUGUUUUGGCUCAGGAGCAGCUAUCAGGCCUUGAUAAGGUCGACAAGUCUGCUGUUCUAAAAUAAAAACAAAACAAACAAACAAAAA